rnacentral:rRNA from 1 species
GAUGAACGCUAGCUACAGGCUUAACACAUGCAAGUCGAGGGACCGGCGCACGAGUGAGUAACACGUACCCAACUUGCCCUUUACUCGGGGAUAGCCUUUCGUAAGAAAGAUUAAUACCCGAUAUUAACAAUGGGGGUGCGUUGCAUUAGGUUGUUGGUGAGGUAACGGCAAACCAAGCCUUCGAUGGAUAGGGGUUCUGAGAGGAGCCUCCCCGACAUUGGAACCCGGCCACGGUCCAAACGCGUACGGGAGGCAGCAGUGAGUAAUAUUGGUGAAUGGGCGUUAGCCUGAAACAGCCAAGGAGCGUGAAGGAUUAAGGCUCAUGGGUCGUAAACUUCUAUUAUAUAAGAAUAUGUACUAAAUGAAUAAGGAUCGGCUAACUACGUGCCAGCAGCCGCGGUAAUAC